rnacentral:rRNA from 1 species
AGAGUUUGAUCAUGGCUCAGGACGAACGCUGGCGGCGUGCUUAACACAUGCAAGUCGAACGGAAAGGCCCUUCGGGGUACUCGAGUGGCGAACGGGUGAGUAACACGUGGGUGAUCUGCCUUGCACUUUGGGAUAAGCCUGGGAAACUGGGUCUAAUACCGAAUAGGACCACGCGCUUCAUGGUGUGUGGUGGAAAGCUUUUGCGGUGUGGGAUGGGCCCGCGGCCUAUCAGCUUGUUGGUGGGGUAAUGGCCUACCAAGGCGACGACGGGUAGCCGGCCUGAGAGGGUGACCGGCCACACUGGGACUGAGAUACGGCCCAGACUCCUACGGGAGGCAGCAGUGGGGAAUAUUGCACAAUGGGCGCAAGCCUGAUGCAGCGACGCCGCGUGAGGGAUGACGGCCUUCGGGUUGUAAACCUCUUUCAAUAGGGACGAAGCGCAAGUGACGGUACCUAUAGAAGAAGCACCGGCCAACUACGUGCCAGCAGCCGCGGUAAUACGUAGGGUGCGAGCGUUGUCCGGAAUUACUGGGCGUAAAGAGCUCGUAGGUGGUUUGUCGCGUUGUUCGUGAAAACUCACAGCUUAACUGUGGGCGUGCGGGCGAUACGGGCAGACUAGAGUACUGCAGGGGAGACUGGAAUUCCUGGUGUAGCGGUGGAAUGCGCAGAUAUCAGGAGGAACACCGGUGGCGAAGGCGGGUCUCUGGGCAGUAACUGACGCUGAGGAGCGAAAGCGUGGGGAGCGAACAGGAUUAGAUACCCCGGUAGUCCAA